CGGUGAUGAAUCGGUGGACUGGUUCGGCAUCGGUCUACUGAGGAGCCAAGCUAUGAGAUGAGCGAAAACCACAAACCGAAUGGAUUCAAGAAAUUGAAAGAAUGCGCUCAGC
rnacentral:sRNA from 12 species